rnacentral:rRNA from 1 species
UGAUCAUGGCUCAGAUUGAACGCUGGCGGCAGGCCUAACACAUGCAAGUCGAGCGGUAGCGGGAAGAGCUUGCUCUUUGCCGACGAGCGGCGGACGGGUGCGUAACACGUAGGAAUCUGCCCGGUAGUGGGGGAUAGCCCGGAGAAAUCCGGAUUAAUACCGCAUACGCCCUAAGGGGGAAAGCAGGGGAUCUUCGGACCUUGCGCUAUCAGAUGAGCCUGCGUCGGAUUAGCUGGUUGGUGGGGUAAAGGCCUACCAAGGCGACGAUCCGUAGCUGGUCUGAGAGGAUGAUCAGCCACACUGGGACUGAGACACGGCCCAGACUCCUACGGGAGGCAGCA